AGUUUUAUAUUUUAUUAUAAUAAAAUUAUGAAUUGCAAGUUCUUAGAAGGUUUAAGCCUAAAACUU
rnacentral:tRNA from 1 species